rnacentral:piRNA from 1 species
UAAGUGAUGGGUUUGCCGCAAUGACGU